AUGGACAAAAAAAUAUUUUGUUGGAUAUUUUUGCUUGGAUAUUUCCAUGCAUCCUCUGGACAAGUGACAACCAACACAACUGGAGCCAUCACAUUUUCGGCUACAACAACCACAGCUGGAACCGCCACAACUCCAACUCUAACUACCACAACUGGAGGCAUUACAUUUUCGGCUCCAACCACCAUAAUUGCAGCCACCACAUCUCCAGGUUCAACCACCACAACUGCAGCCACCACAACUCCAGCUCCAACCACCACAACUUCGGCUCCUAGCACUACAACUCCGGGUCCAACCACCACAACUCCAGCUCCAACCACCACAACUUCGGCUCCUAACACUACAACUCCGGGUCCAACCACCACAACUACGGCUCCAACCACUACAACUCCAGCUCCAAUCAUUACAACUCUGUCUCCAACCACCAUAACUGGAGCCACCACCUCAUCUAUAGGAGAAACAACAAUUCAAGUCUUUGAAUCACUGGCACAUCUACAGAUGAAGUUAAGUUCUAUUGGAGAGCUCAGCAAUCAAACCAUCAUUGAAAAUGUUAAACAGCUUUUUAAAGAGCAGCUCCUGAAUGGAACAGCCCAUACAAUAACAGUGACAAACAUCCAGAAGGUUAGAGUUACCCCAUAG
rnacentral:lncRNA from 15 species